rnacentral:misc_RNA from 1 species
CUCUUUUUUUUUUUUUUUUUUAUCUACACUCACUAUCUGCAAAUGCUAACUUGAGCAUCAUAGUGGUUGGCCAGAAGGCCACCGAUCUCACAUUUUCUUGGUUUUACAGGCUUACGUGGCACUAGGAGUAGAUUUCAUAAACUCACGGCAACAUCACUAUCUAUCAUCAAUAACGCAAGCUAUAAAAAAAAUAACACCUAAUAUCAUGCAUAACAUAAAUUAGCUAAUGAAGUACCUCAAAAAAUACAUGAAUCUCAGUAUGCCCUCAU